rnacentral:rRNA from 1 species
CCUACGGGUGGCAGCAGUGGGGAAUAUUGCGCAAGGGGCGAAAGCCUGACGCAGCGACGCCUCGUGAGGGAUGAAGGUCUUCGGAUCGUAAACCUCUGUCAGCAGGGAAGAACGGUCACGGUGCUAAGCAGCAGUGAAUUGACGGUACCGGCAAAGGAAGCACCGGCUAACUCCGUGCCAGCAGCCGCGGUAAUACGGAGGGUGCGAGUGUUAAUCGGAAUUACUGGGCGUAAAGCGCUCGUAGGCGGUAUGUCAAGUCAAGGGUGAAAUCCCCGCGCGCAACGUGGGAACUGCCUUUGAAACUGGCAAACUGGAGUGUGUGAGCGCAUAGUGGAUUUCCAGUUGUAGGCG